GACGAACGCUGGCGGCGUGCUUAACACAUGCAAGUCGAACGGAAAGGCCCUGCUUUUGUGGGGUGCUCGAGUGGCGAACGGGUGAGUAACACGUGAGUAACCUGCCCUUGACUUUGGGAUAACUUCAGGAAACUGGGGCUAAUACCGGAUAGGAGCUCCUGCUGCAUGGUGGGGGUUGGAAAGUUUCGGCGGUUGGGGAUGGACUCGCGGCUUAUCAGCUUGUUGGUGGGGUAGUGGCUUACCAAGGCUUCGACGGGUAGCCGGCCUGAGAGGGUGACCGGCCACAAUAGGACUGAGAUACGGCCCAGACUCCUACGGGAGGCAGAAGUGGAGAAUAUUGCACAAUGGGCGGAAGCCUGAUGCAGCAACGCCGCGUGCGGGAUGACGGCCUUCGGGUUGUAAACCGCUUUCGCCUGUGACGAAGCGUGAGUGACGGUAAUGGGUAAAGAAGCACCGGCUAACUACGUG
rnacentral:rRNA from 1 species